GGCCGGGUCCCAGACUAUCAGGACCUACGAACCUGGUCAGAUACGAAAGUAAGCAGCCAUAAGUGGAUGUCUUGUUGUGUAUGGUAAAACCCGGCCGCC
rnacentral:SRP_RNA from 1 species